AUUGAACGCUGGCGGCAGGCCUAACACAUGCAAGUCGAGCGGAUGAAGGGAGCUUGCUCCUGGAUUCAGCGGCGGACGGGUGAGUAAUGCCUAGGAAUCUGCCUGGUAGUGGGGGACAACGUUUCGAAAGGAACGCUAAUACCGCAUACGUCCUACGGGAGAAAGCAGGGGACCUUCGGGCCUUGCGCUAUCAGAUGAGCCUAGGUCGGAUUAGCUAGUUGGUGAGGUAAUGGCUCACCAAGGCGACGAUCCGUAACUGGUCUGAGAGGAUGAUCAGGCACACUGGAAACGGGAACCGGUCCAGACUCCUACGGGAGGCAGCAGUGGGGAAUAUUGGACAAUGGGCGAAAGCCUGAUCCAGCCAUGCCGCGUGUGUGAAGAAGGUCUUCGGAUUGUAAAGCACUUUAAGUUGGGAGGAAGGGUUGUAGAUUAAUACUCUGCAAUUUUGACGUUACCGACAGAAUAAGCACCGGCUAACUCUGUGCCAGCCGCCGCCGUAAUAC
rnacentral:rRNA from 1 species